rnacentral:ncRNA from 1 species
GAUUGUGAAGUAUAGUUGAUUGUAUUGAAACCUUGGGAAACCCUGAUGGAAGACAGAAACUGUUUUGACGGGCAAAUCAAUUGUCAGAAUUGAAUGUAGGAGAGAAUGGCCGAUCAAACCAUC